AAUUACCAUUAUUAAUUUUUAAUUAGAAGUGAAAUAUUAAACGACUUUAAAUAUAUCUAGUUUUUUUAGAAUUGAAUUAAAUUCAGCUUUAAAAUUUUUUGAAAUAAAUUAAAUAAAUUUAUUUAUGAAUUAAAUAUUUUAAAGUAAAUAUAUUCGGGAUAAAUUGAUUAUAUGAGUUAUAAAUUAAUUUUAAUUUAUUUUAAAAGUAAUUAUAAAAUUAUAUUUCUUUUUAAAAAAUGUUUUAAUUUAUAUUUUUAAAUUUAUAUAGUAUAAUUUAAUUUUUAUUUUAAUAAUUUAUAAAAAUUUAAUAUUAAAUUAUUUUAUUUUAAAUAUAAUGAUUAUAUAAGUAAAUAUUAAUAAAAUGAAAUAAAUAAUUAUAAAAUUUUAAAAUUUAGAUUUAAGGAAUUAGGCAAAUAUUUUUAAAAUAAAAUUUAUAUUUACCUGUUUAUCAAAAACAUGUCUUAUUGAUUUAAAUAAUAAGUUUAUUCUGCCCAUUGAAAUAGAAAUUUUAAAAGGCUGCAGUAUAUUAACUGUACAAAGGUAGCAAAAUAAAUAGUUUUUUAAUUGAAAACUUGAAUGAAAGAAUUAAUAAAAUAUAUUCUGUCUCAAAUUUAAUUGAUUUAUUAAAUUUAAAUAAAAAGUUAAAAUGCUUUUAUAAUUUUAUUAGACGAUAAGACCCUAAGAAUUUAAUAAUUUUAUUUUAUUAAUUAAAUUUUAUAAUUAAUUAAUUAAUAAAAUAAAAUUUUUUUAUUGGGAGGGUAAUUGAAUUUUUAACCUUUAAUUUUUAAUAAA
rnacentral:rRNA from 1 species